rnacentral:misc_RNA from 1 species
CUCUUCUUAGAGCAAUGGCAACGACCAGAAGACCCACCACUGCACUUUCCAGAACCCAUAUUCUCAGAACUACACUUCCUCUUCAAGGAAGAAGAAGAAAGUGGAGGCUUUCCAGAUGAAGAAACCUGAGAAAGAUUGGUAAUCUGAAACGCUGAUGAAGAGGAUAGCUGUUUACUAUCAAUCGUAUCACCGGUCAAGGAAGAAACAAAAGAAUUCCCAGCAGAAGAAUAAGAAAAAUUGAGGGUGGUAGACGAUUCUUUCCUGUCACUGAUCA